rnacentral:rRNA from 1 species
UAUGUAUAGCUUACAGCAUAGCGUUAAUGCAGUGAAUCCCAUUAGAACUCCCCAGUUAAGCAUGCUCAGGCUAGAGGAGUACUGGGAUGGGUGACCUCCUGGGAAGUCUUAGUAUUUCACAUGC